rnacentral:rRNA from 1 species
AACGAACGCUGGCGGCAUGCCUAACACAUGCGAGUCGAACGAGAUCUUCGGGUCUAGUGGCGCACGGGUGCGUAACGCGUGGGAAUCUGCCCUUUGGUUCGGAAUAACAGUUGGAAACGACUGCUAAUACCGGAUGAUGACGAAAGUCCAAAGAUUUAUCGCCAGAGGAUGAGCCCGCGUAGGAUUAGCGAGUUGGUGUGGUAAAGGCGCACCAAGGCGACGAUCCUUAGCUGGUCUGAGAGGAUGAUCAGCCACACUGGGACUGAGACACGGCCCAGACUCCUACGGGAGGCAGCAGUGGGGAAUAUUGGACAAUGGGCGAAAGCCUGAUCCAGCAAUGCCGCGUGAGUGAUGAAGGCCUUAGGGUUGUAAAGCUCUUUUACCCGGGAUGAUAAAGACAGUACCGGGAGAAUAAGCUCCGGCUAACUCCGUGCCAGCCGCCGCGGUAA